CCUACGGGAGGCAGCAGUGGGGAAUAUUGGGCAAUGGGCGCAAGCCUGACCCAGCAACGCCGCGUGAAGGAAGAAGGCUUUCGGGUUGUAAACUUCUUUUGUCAGGGACGAAGCAAGGGACGGUACCUGACGAAUCAGCCACGGCUAACUACGUGCCAGCAGCCGCGGUAAUACGUAGGGGGCAAGCGUUAGCCGGAAGCAUUGGGCGUAAAGAGUUCGUAGGUGGCACGUUAAGUCAGGGGUGAAAGGCGGAAGCUUAACUACCGUAGGGCACUGGAUACUGUGGUGCUUGAUUGCGGUAGAGGUAAAGGGAAUUCCUGGUGUAGCGGUGAAAUGCGUAGAUAUCAGGAGGAACAUCGGUGGCGUAAGCGCUUUACUGGGCCGUAAGUGACGCUGAGGAACGAAAGCCUGGGGAGCAAAUGGGAUUAGAUACCCUUGUAGUC
rnacentral:rRNA from 1 species